UAACUAAAGCUAAUUUAUGUCUGUCCAUGCAUCUAAACUCAGCAAAAAAAGAAAGGCCCCUUUUUCAGAACACUGUAUUUUAAAGAUUCUUUUGUAAAAAUCAAAAAACCUUUAGAGAUCUUCAUUGUAAAGGGUUUACACAAUGUCCCCCAUGCCUAUUUAAUGAACCAUAAACAAUUAAUGAACAUGCACCUGUUGAAAGGUCAAAAAGACAAAAUCAGCUUGCAGGCAGUAGGCAAUUAAGGUCACAGUUAAAAGAAAAUUAGGAAAGUAAAGAGACCUUUCUACUGACUCGGAAAAACACCGAAAGAAAGACGUGCAUGAACAGGCAAAGGCAUGAGGACAACAGAUGUGGCCAGGGCAAUCCAUUGCAAUGUCCUUUUAGGCAACUUAGACAGCGCUACAGGGACACAGGAAGCACAGCUGAUCGUCCUCGCAGUGGCAGACCACGAGGAACAGCACCUGCACAGGAUCGGUACAUUUGAAUAUCCCACCUGCGGAACCGGUACAGGAUGGCAACAACAACCCUAAGAACAGGCCAGUCCGGUGCAGUACAUGAGGAGGGGAUGUACUGCAGUACUUUAUGCUGCUGCUGGCCACACCAGAUACUGGGGGCUGCUUUUAAUUCUGAACCUCCCUUUGUUCAGGGACACUUUAUUCCAUUUGUGUUAGUCACAUGUCUGUGAAAAUUGUUCAGUUUACAUCUUAGUUGUUAAAUCUUUUAAUGUUCAUACAGCUUGCC